GAGAGAAUGUCGAGCGAUCAAACGGGUUUUUCAAAAAUGAUCGUCUCUUUUGCGAUCGUGACUCUGCUUAGCUUUUGCAGCCCGGCGUCCAGUUUCGCCUACCUUCCUCGCGUCUCCCGUACACAUGACGCCAUCAUCAUCGAUGUUGACGGUAGAUACUCUUAUCAAGAUAAGACGCUGUACGGCCAAAUUACCAAUCCAGGAUUUAUUCCGGUGCCAUCCUUCAAUCCCUACCCUGUAAAGGCAUCACCAGCAGGAGCAGUGUCAGUCCAGUGGGUGUGGUUCUAUUCAUACGAAUAUCCUAAUAUUCUGACUGUUGGAGAUCUCUUUGUCCGUCAAGCAAACAACAGCGCCUGUGUGUGGUGCUGGACCAGCCACCAUGACUGCUACACGGGCAUUGGCAAGCAAAAGGAUCAUUGGCGGAACCUCAGCCAAAAAGAAUGCUUGGCCUUUUAUGGUAGCCUUGAAGAAAAGUGAUGGUUCAUUAUUUUGCAGCGGAACUUUGAUUUGUGACACCAGAGUUACUAUUGGCGGCUCAGUGUGUGGAGAAAUUGUAUUUGUAUGAGUUUUCUGGUGUGACCGUAUUGGUUGGGAUGUUUUUGACGGACAAAACCGACGUCCAAAUGACGACGAGGAGGAUCAGCAUCAUGUUUCAAAUUCAACUCUGCCUCCUAUCAGUUGCUACAACAGGACGGAAAUUUUUGAAAUUCACCUCCAUUCAUUGAUGUCGACUAGGCCAAUGAUAUCGCCAUCAUUUUGUAAUGGACGCGCCCGUGGUUCUUUUCAGGAUUGUUGCACCUGCUUGUUUGCCGCCGGCCAGUACAGACCCCGACCAGUACGUCGUAACGUCGACCAAGAUGCCAUUCUUUUGGGAUGGGGAGAGCCGGAGAGCCUAGCAAAAAUAGCAUCCCCUUAACCUGGAACAAGCCAAGUUUUCGAUUUCGUCCAACAUUGAAUUAAAAGGGAAUCCACUUUUUUGGUAAAUGUUUUACGGACACAAAUAUCUGUAUUACGAGUGGUG
rnacentral:misc_RNA from 1 species